rnacentral:rRNA from 1 species
AUGACGAUACUUGGAUGGAACUGUCGAGGUCUCGGGCAGCCUCGAACAGUUCAGGAACUUGUGUGCCUCGUGCACACCUACAAGCCCAAGCUCGUCUUCCUUUCUAAAACCCGGCCAAACAAUAAAUAUGUCAAGUAUCUAAAGUGGAGGCUAGGCCUUCAUCAUUGUAUAACGCAACCCGGCAUCAGAAAAGGUGCCGACAUUGCCCUCUUUUAUGACGAGAGUGUGGAAAUAAAGAAGAUUGCCGUGGGGGCGAGAUAUAUCGAUGUGUUAAUUCGCUUGAGCCCUCGGGGUAUGCAAUGGCGGGGUACUUUUGUGUACGGUGAACCUAAGGCUCAUGAACGACACCAUAUGUGGACCUUGCUUCGAAGAAUAAAAGAUACAAACAACCUCCCUUGGAUGAUGAUGGGGAUUUCAACGAGACUUUGUGGCAAUCUGAACACUUCUCAGCAACGAGGAGAUCCGAGAGGAACAUGCAAAACUUCAGGAAAGUUUUGUCGGACUUUAAUUUGUUUGACAUGGGAUACAAAGGGCCGAGUUGGACUUACAAUAAUAAACAAAAUGGUCAUGCAAAUGUGA